rnacentral:rRNA from 1 species
GAUGAACGCUGGCGGCGUGCCUAAUACAUGCAAGUCGAGCGAAUGGAUUAAGAGCUUGCUCUUAUGAAGUUAGCGGCGGACGGGUGAGUAACACGUGGGUAACCUGCCCAUAAGACUGGGAUAACUCCGGGAAACCGGGGCUAAUACCGGAUAACAUUUUGAACCGCAUGGUUCGAAAUUGAAAGGCGGCUUCGGCUGUCACUUAUGGAUGGACCCGCGUCGCAUUAGCUAGUUGGUGAGGUAACGGCUCACCAAGGCAACGAGGCGUAGCCGACCUGGGAGGGGGAUCGGGCACACUGGGACGAGGACACGGCCCAAGCUCCUACGGGAGGCAGCAGUAGGGAAUCUUCCGCAAUGGACGAAAGUCGUACUGAGCAACGCCGCGUGAGGGAUGAAGGCUUUCGGGUCGUAAAACUCUGUUGUUAGGGAAGAACAAGUGCUAGUUGAAUAAGCUGGCACCUUGACGGUACCUAACCAGAAAGCCACGGCUAACUACGUGCCAGCCGCCGCAGUAA